CCGGCAAUAGUCCAGUGGUAGAGCCCCCGCUUCGCAUGCGGAGAGACCUGGGUUCGAUUCCCAGCUAGCGGG
rnacentral:tRNA from 1 species